rnacentral:rRNA from 1 species
UACGAAGGGUGCAAGUGUUAUCCGGAAUUAUUGGGCGUAAGGAGCUCGUAGGCGGUUUGUCGCGUCUGCUGUGAAAACUGGGGGCUCAACCCCCAGCCUGCAGUGGGUACGGGCAGACUAGAGUGCGGUAGGGGAGAGUGGAAUUCCUGGUGUAGCGGUGGAAUGCGCAGAUAUCAGGAGGAACACCGAUGGCGAAGGCAGAUCUCUGGGCCGUAACUGACGCUGAAGAGCGAAAGCAUGGGGAGCGAACAGG